GUAGGUGAACCUGCGGAAGGAUCAUUAUUGAAAUAAGCUUGGUUGGGUUGUUGCUGGCUCUGAGGGGCAUGUGCACGCCUAACACCAACUUUCUUACCACCUGUGCACUUUUUGUAGACUUUGGAAAAUACCUCUUGGUUUGAGGACUGUCGUGCGCAAGCCGGCUUUCCUUGUACUUUCCAGUCUAUGUUUUUAUAAUAUACACCUAUAGUAUGUUUCAGAAUGUCAUUUAAUGGGCUUAACUGCCUUUAAUUACCAUACAACUUUCAACAACGGAUCUCUUGGCUCUC
rnacentral:misc_RNA from 1 species